UACGAAGGGGGCUAGCGUUGCUCGGAAUCACUGGGCGUAAAGCGCACGUAGGCGGCUUCUUAAGUCAGGGGUGAAAUCCUGGAGCUCAACUCCAGAACUGCCUUUGAUACUGAGGAGCUCGAGUCCGGGAGAGGUGAGUGGAACUCCGAGUGUAGAGGUGAGAUUCGUAGAUAUUCGGAAGAACACCAGUGGCGAAGGCGGCUCACUGGCCCGGUACUGACGCUGAGGUGCGAAAGCGUGGGGAGCAAACAGG
rnacentral:rRNA from 1 species